CUGCUGCCUUCCGUAGGAGUUUGGGCCGUGUCUCAGUCCCAAUGUGGCCGUUCACCCUCUCAGGCCGGCUACUGAUCGUCGCUUUGGUGGGCCGUUACCCCGCCAACUGGCUAAUCAGACGCGGAUCCAUCGUAUACCACCGGAGUUUUUCACACUGUUCCAUGCGGAACCGUGCGCUUAUGCGGUGUUAGCACCUAUUUCUAAGUGUUAUCCCCCUGUAUACGGCAGGUUAUCCACGCGUUACUCACCCGUCCGCCACUAACCCA
rnacentral:rRNA from 1 species